rnacentral:tRNA from 1 species
GCCGAUGUGGCUCAGCGGUAGAGCAGCUCACUCGUAAUGAGCAGGUCGUCAGUUCGAUUCUGACCAUCGGCU